AUUUUGACAAACUAGAUUUAAUUUUUUUCCUGAGGGUAAAGUGCAAGGCAAUGGUUCAGAGGAAGAACUAAUAUAAUUCUUAGGCAUUUUCAUGUCACCAUGUUUACAGAGAGGUGGCAUCUUUAAGUUUACUUAUUAAAACCUUUAGGACUAAGACAACGGCAGAAAACUAUUCUCACAAAUAGAAAAAUUUUCUGAGUUAUCUGACAAAGCAACACCAAGAAAUAUUUCUUAGAUAUCUUGUUUGAUAUUAUUUAAGUAGAAGUAGUGUUAGUGUACUCAAUAACUACAAACCAGUAGCUUAAUGUACUCUACUUGCAUGGAACCAUAGACUCACAUAAUAAAUAAUUCAGGCUGUGAGGGGCCUCAGGUCUUCUGCUCCAACCUCCAACUCAGAGCAGGUCAAAAGUGGGUCAGGUUGUUCAGGGCAUUGUCCAGUUGAUUUUUUAAUAUCUCUAUCAACAGGCUUCUUGUUCAAAUCUCUAACUUCUUUCGUCAUAUUUUUUUUCCCCUGAUAUCUGAUUAGAACUUUACUAAAGGAGUUGUUGUGGUUUGAGCCCAGCCGGUAACUCAGAACCACACAGCCGCUCGCUCACUCCCCCCCCACUUCUUCCUCCCCCCGCUCCCGGAGGGAUGGGGAGGAGAAUGGGAAGAAUGUAACUCCCACGGGUUGAGAUAAGAGCAGUCCCGCAACUAAGGUAUAAUACAAAACCACUACUGCUACCACCAAUGAUAAUAACGAUUAGUGAAAUAACAAGGGGAGGGGAUACAAUUGCUCACCACCCGCCGACCGAUACCCAGCCCGACCCGAGCAGUGAUCAGGCCUUCCGGGUAACUCCCCCCGGUUUAUAUACUGGGCAUGACGUGCUGUGGUAUGGAAUACCCCUUUGGCUAGUUUGGGCCAGGUGUCCUGUCUCUGCUUCCGCCCGGCUUCCCCUCCUCCCUGGCAAAGCAUGAGACUGAGAAAGUCCUUGGUUGGAAUAAACAUUACUUAGCAACAACUAAAAACAUCAGUGUUAUCAGCGUUGUUCCCAGGCCGAAAGUUAAAAAACACAGCACUGCACCAGCUACUAAGAAGGAGAAAAAUGACUGCUAUAGCUGAACCCAGGACAGUAUCCACCCCUUAUUCCAUACCAUUCAUGUCAUGCUCAGAUCCCACAUCUCUCAGCACACCGUCACCCCUGUCCCAUAUAUAUACACAUAUAUAUAUACACCCACACCCACACACAGAGAAAGAUAUCAUUCCCUAGUCCAUGGACCAAUCCCUGUAAAAUUGCUGAACUCAUCCAGUCCAUGAUGUCAGGCUCCAUCUCUUGUAAUAGUCUUUCAGGGCAGGAGGGACGGUAUGUAGUGUUGGGUUGUUGCCUGCUGAUGAUACCGCCAAACUCGUCUGGUCACUGCUAAGCUCAUCUGGUUUCCUCAAAAUUCAUUCUUUGUUGAGGUGAUGAUCGGAGGGAAGUCAGGGUCAAUUGCUGGUGACCUGAAGAUAUCUAGCUGGUGGGCUAUAAAAGUGUUAUAGAGCAGGCAACAGCAUACAAUUGAGUUCAUUGGCUGUUUUCCCCCAAAAUCAAAUCCCCUUGAGGUACACAUCGGACUUCCCCAUCUUCCCACAUUACCCACCAAGUAUAUCCAGGUCCCUGAGCAAAAGCAACCCCACGAGUGGGUUUGCCUUUACCUGAAGCAGGAAUAACCCAGACUGUCUUCCCCAACAAAUUCUUUAUGUGCACCACAGGAACUUUAUCCCCCUCUACGGUACGUAAAAGUUCUGAUUGGGCUGGGCCAGCCCUGUUGGCAGAUCCCCUACUGUUAACCAACCAGGUGGCUUUUGGUAAAUGUUGUAGUUUUUAACAGCCCAUUGUACCGUUCGAUUUUCCCAGAGGCUGGUGCAUGGUAGGGGAUGUGAUAUACCCACUCAAUGCCAUGCUCUUUGGCCCAAGUGUCUAUGAGGUUGUUCCGGAAAUGAGUCCCAUUGUCUGACUCAAUUCUCUCUGGGGUGCCGUGUCGCCACAAGACUUGUUUCUCAAGGCCCAGGAUAGUGUUCCGGGCAGUGGCGUGGGACACAGCAU
ensembl:lncRNA